UACGGAAGGCAGCAGUGGGGAAUAUUGCACAAUGGGCGCAAGCCUGAUGCAGCCAUGCCGCGUGUAUGAAAAAGGCCUUCGGGUUGUAAAGUACUUUCAGUCGUGAGGAAGGUGUUAAGGUUAAUAACCUUAGCAAUUGACGUUAGCGACAGAAGAAGCACCGGCUAACUCCGUGCCAGCAGCCGCGGUAAUACGGAGGGUGCGAGCGUUAAUCGGAAUUACUGGGCGUAAAGGGCACGCAGGCGGUUAAUUAAGUUGGAUGUGAAAUCCCCGGGCUUAACCUGGGAAUGGCAUUCAAGACUGGUUAGCUAGAGUCUUGUAGAGGGGGUAGAAUUCCAUGUGUAGCGGUGAAAUGCGUAGAGAUGUGGAGGAAUACCGGUGGCGAAGGCGGCCCCUGGGACAAAGACUGACGCUCAUGUGCGAAAGCGUGGGGAGC
rnacentral:rRNA from 1 species